UUCGCUAGUAAUCGCGCAUCAGCCAUGGCGCGGUGAAUACGUUCCCGGGCCUUGUACACACCGCCCGUCAAGCCAUGAAAGCCGGGGGUGCCUGAAGUCCGUGACCGCAAGGAUCGGCCUAGGGCAAAACUGGUGAUUGGGGCUAAGUCGUAACAAGGUAGCCGUACCGGAAGGUGCGGCUGGAACACCUCCUUUCUGGAG
rnacentral:rRNA from 3 species